CCAAUAGCGUAUAUUAAAGUUGUUGCAGUUAAAAAGCUCGUAGUUGAAUUUCGGGGUUUAUCCGUUGGUCGGGCUUUUUGGGUCUGUACUGGCGUGAUGGAUUCCUACCUUCUGAAUAACCAGCAUGUCAUUAAUUUGGUGCGUUGGGGAAGCAGGACUGUUACCUUGAAAAAAUUAGAGUGCUUAAAGCAGGCUAUUGCCUGAAUACAUUAGCAUGGAAUAAUGAAAUAGGACGCAUGGUUCUAUUUUGUUGGUUUCUAGGAUCACCGUAAUGAUUAAUAGGGAUAGUUGGGGGCAUUAGUAUUCAAUUGUCAGAGGUGAAAUUCUUGGAUUUAUUGAAGACUAACUUCUGCGAAAGCAUUUGCCAAGGAUGUUUUCAUUAAUCAAGAACGAAAGUUAGGGGAUCGAAGACGAUCAGAUACCGUCGUAGUCUUAACCAUAAACUAUGCCGACUAGGGAUCGGACGAUGUUAAUUUUUUAAUGACUCGUUCGGCGCCUUACG
rnacentral:rRNA from 1 species